CGAAUGCUGACAUAAGUAACGAUAAAGCGGGUGAAAAGCCCGCUCGCCGGAAGACCAAGGGUUCCUGUCCAACGUUAAUCGGGGCAGGGUGAGUCGACCCCUAAGGCGAGGCCGAAAGGCGUAGUCGAUGGGAAACAGGUUAAUAUUCCUGUACUUGGUGUUACUGCGAAGGGGGGACGGAGAAGGCUAUGUUGGCCGGGCGACGGUUGUCCCGGUUUAAGCGUGUAGGCUGGUUUUCCAGGCAAAUCCGGAAAAUCAAGGCUGAGGCGUGAUGACGAGGCACUACGGUGCUGAAGCAACAAAUGCCCUGCUUCCAGGAAAAGCCUCUAAGCAUCAGGUAACAUCAAAUCGUACCCCAAACCGACACAGGUGGUCAGGUAGAGAAUACCAAGGCGCUUGAGAGAACUCGGGUGAAGGAACUAGGCAAAAUGGUGCCGUAACUUCGGGAGAAGG
rnacentral:rRNA from 13 species